GCUGGGCAUGGUGGCGUACUCCUAUAAUCCUAGCCUCUUGGGAGGCUGAGGCAGGAGGAUCAUGAGUUCAAAACCAGCCUCAGCAACUUAUUGAGGUCCUAAGCAAUUUAGUAGGAUCCUGUCUCAA
rnacentral:sRNA from 1 species